rnacentral:rRNA from 1 species
UACGUAGGUGGCAAGCGUGUCCGGAUUAUUGGUUAAGGUGCGUAGGCGGUCUAUAAGUCAGUGGUGAAAUCCGGCAGCUCAACUGUCGAUGUGCCAUUGAUACUGCAGAACUUGAGUACAGACGAGGUAGGCGGAAUUGACGGUGUAGCGGUGAAAUGCUUAGAUAUCGUCAAGAACACCGAUAGCGAAGGCAGCUUACGUAGACUGUAACUGACGCUGAUGCACGAAAGUG